rnacentral:rRNA from 1 species
AUUGAACGCUGGCGGCAUGCCUUACACAUGCAAGUCGAACGGAUUGAAGGGGCUUGCUCCUUCAGUUAGUGGCGAACGGGUGAGUAAAGCAUCGGAACGUACCCAGUCGUGGGGGAUAACGUAGCGAAAGUUACGCUAAUACCGCAUACGACCUACGGGUGAAAGGGGGGGAUCGCAAGACCUCUCGCUAUUGGAGCGGCCGAUGUCAGAUUAGGUAGUUGGUGGGGUAAAGGCCUACCAAGCCGACGAUCUGUAGCUGGUCUGAGAGGACGACCAGCCACACUGGGACUGAGACACGGCCCAGACUCCUACGGGAGGCAGCAGUGGGGAAUUUUGGACAAUGGGCGAAAGCCUGAUCCAGCCAUGCCGCGUGCGGGAAGAAGGCCUUCGGGUUGUAAACCGCUUUUGUCAGGGAAGAAAUCUUCUGGGUUAAUACCUCGGGAGGAUGACGGUACCUGAAGAAUAAGCACCGGCUAACUACGUGACAGCCGCCGCCGUAA